rnacentral:sRNA from 1 species
GCGUGCUUGGGCGAGAGUA